rnacentral:rRNA from 1 species
GAGUAAACGCGUAAACAACCCUGCCCUUCGGAUGGGGAUACAGCCGGAAACGGCUGCUAAUACCGAAUACGAUCUUUUCGUCGCAUGACGGAAAAGAAGAAAAGGAAUGGCCUCUAUACAAAGCUAUCGCCGAAGGAGGGGUUUUGCGUCUGAUUAGCUGGUUGGAGGGGUAACGGCCCAACAAGGCGAUGAUCAGUAGCCGGUCUGAGAGGAUGAACGGCCACAUUGGGACUGAGGCACGGCCCAGACUCCUACGGGAGGCAGCAGUGGGGAAUCUUCCGCAAUGGACGAAAGUCUGACGGAGCAACGCCGCGUGAGUGAAGAAGGUCUUCGGAUUGUAAAGCUCUGUUAUACGGGACGAAAAAGACGGAUGCCAACAGUAUCCGUCCGUGACGGUACCGUAAGAGAAAGCCACGGCUAACUACGUGCCAGCAGCCGCGGUAAAU